rnacentral:rRNA from 1 species
UAUGUGAUCGUCUCUCGCAUAUCAAUAAGCGGAGGAAAAGAAACUAACAAGGAUUCCCUAGUAACGGCGAGUGAAGCGGGAAGAGCUCAAAUUUGAAAUCUUAAAGGUUUUCCCUUGACGAAUUGUAGUUUAAAGAAGUGUUUUCUGUUGAAGUUUUGGUAAAAGUUCUUUGGAAUAGGACAUCAUAGAGGGUGAGAAUCCCGUAUUUGACCAUUUACUUUCAGCUUUGUGAUACACUUUCAAAGAGUCGGAUUGUUUGGGAAUGCAGUCCAAAAUGGGUGGUAAAUUUCAUCUAAAGCUAAAUAUUGGCGAGAGACCGAUAGCGAACAAGUACCGUGAGGGAAAGAUGAAAAGAACUUUGAAAAGAGAGUUAAACAGUACGUGAAAUUGUCAAAAGGGAAGCGCUUGACACCAGUGUUGUUUUUCUGAAAAUCAAUUAAAGAACUGUUUAUGCUAAGCUGUUUAGACUUUAUCAGCUAUACUGUUUAGUUUUGAGCUUUUCUUUAAUGCACUUUUCAGUUAACAAGUCAACAUCAAUUUCUUUUGCUGUAAAAAAGCUUGAGGAAGGUGGCUUGAGAUUCGUCUUAAGUGUUUAUAGCCUCUUGCCUAUGCAGUCGGAGAGAUUGAGGUCUGCAGCGUAGAUCCUUCGGGGCUAAAUGCAUUUGUGCUAAGUUAUAGCAUUUUAUAGACAACUUGUUGACUAUGAUUUGUCUUGUAGCUUACUCGCUUAUGUUAUUUUACCUACGCUUAGGAUGUUGAGUCAUCACACAUCUCU